rnacentral:rRNA from 1 species
AACGAACGCUGGCGGCGUGCUUAACACAUGCAAGUCGAACGGUGAAGCCGAGCUUGCUCUGUGGAUCAGUGGCGAACGGGUGAGUAACACGUGAGCAACCUGCCCCGGACUCUGGGAUAAGCGCUGGAAACGGCGUCUAAUACCGGAUACGAGAUUCCACCGCAUGGUGAGUUUCUGGAAAGAACUUCGGUCCAGGAUGAGCUCGCGGCCUAUCAGCUAGUUGGUGAGGUAACGGCUCACCAAGGCGACGACGGGUAGCCGGCCUGAGAGGGGGACCGGCCACACUGGGACUGAGACACGGCCCAGACUCCUACGGGAGGCAGCAGUGGGGAAUAUUGCACAAUGGGCGCAAGCCUGAUGCAGCAACGCCGCGUGAGGGACGACGGCCUUCGGGUUGUAAACCUCUUUUAGCAGGGAAGAAGCGAAAGUGACGGUACCUGCAGAAAAAGCACCGGCUAACUACGUGCCAGCCGCCGCUGUAA